UACAGAGGGGGCGAGCGUUGCUCGGAAUUACUGGGCGUAAAGGGCGCGUAGGCGGCCUUCUAAGUCGAACGUGAAAUCCCCGGGCUCAACCCGGGAACUGCGUCCGAUACUGGGAGGCUUGAAUCCGGGAGAGGGAUGUGGAAUUCCAGGUGUAGCGGUGAAAUGCGUAGAUAUCUGGAGGAACACCGGUGGCGAAGGCGGCAUCCUGGACCGGUAUUGACGCUGAGGCGCGAAAGCCAGGGGAGCAAACGGG
rnacentral:rRNA from 1 species